rnacentral:rRNA from 1 species
GACGAACGCUGGCGGCGUGCUUAACACGUGCAAGUCGAACGGAAAGGCCCUGCUUUUGUGGGGUGCUCGAGUGGCGAACGGGUGAGUAACACGUGAGUAACCUGCCCUUGACUUUGGGAUAACUUCAGGAAACUGGGGCUAAUACCGGAUAGGAGCUCCUGCUGCAUGGUGGGGGUUGGAAAGUUUCGGCGGUUGGGGAUGGACUCGCGGCUUAUCAGCUUGUUGGUGGGGUAGUGGCUUACCAAGGCUUUGACGGGUAGCCGGCCUGAGAGGGUGACCGGCCACACUGGGACUGAGAUACGGCCCAGACUCCUACGGGAGGCAGCAGUGGGGAAUAUUGCACAAUGGGCGGAAGCCUGAUGCAGCAACGCCGCGUGCGGGAUGACGGCCUUCGGGUUGUAAACCGCUUUCGCCUGUGACGAAGCGUGAGUGACGGUAAUGGGUAAAGAAGCACCGGCUAACUACGUG